rnacentral:lncRNA from 1 species
UGCCAGUGUGGGGUUUUACACGCAGUGUAAUCAACUGGUAUCAGGCUUUGGUAUCAGACUUGGAGAUUUGGCAAGAAUCGACUUUAUAUGAUACAGUGGCAGUCCGUGAGGAGUUUACAGAACAUUUUUCGAUUUAGUAGCUAUAAGGUAAUUAUACAGCAACCGAUGAGUAAUAAUUCAGUGAUACUCGAAAAUCACAUCAGUUAUCAUGAAAAAUUUUGUUUAUAUGUUAAAAUUCCAUGAACUAUUUUUACUGUUUGGUUAUUUUUCUACAAAAAAAUUCAAAAUAUACCGUUACACAAUAGAUUUAUGUUCUUGUAUACUUUACAUUAUUGAAACGGUUGAUGGUUCCUUUUACUAUUUCUCAAUGUGUAUUGUUUAUUAGAUUUGAAUAUUAGCCAUAAAAUCUAUUUGCGUAUCAUUCAUUUAAACCAUAUCUAUAAUGUUUUGGAUAAAAUUAAAUACCGUUACAAUAUUGUAUUAUUUAUCAGACUGAAUCCAAAAUGGCAUGCACACUAACGGACAGGCCAAGGUUUGUCUCCUUAUUAUGAAGGAGAGUAGUUACAAAUAUUCUUAUAAAAAGAGGAUAGUGAUAAAUAUACUUAAAUUAAUUGUACGCAUGGAAUAAACAUGGUCGCUUUUAUUUCUAGGGAAAGCGGCUGAUGAGGAAUGUUAAAAACCAAAAUGUAUUCAUUAAAAAAGAGGC